UCUUGCAUUAAAUGUAUUAGUUUUUUUAUGAAUUUAUUGCUGUAUGAAGUUACCUGACGCCUGAUUGGUUGACACAGUGUCCACACGUUGCCCUGUUAUAUACAAAGCCCUUACAAACGUAAGCGUCCUCCGUCCAUUUCAUGGUAAAUCGGUUUACAUCACCCAAUCUUAUACACCUUGAAGAUUAAACGCUGAAUCACGCGAAUUACCUGUCCGAGGGCCGAAUCUGCCGGGUAAUCCCCUUCGUAGAUCCAACGGCCAGCAUAGCGAGAACAACAAACGACAAGGCAGUGAAGAAGUGUCUCAUCUGUGAAUAAUGAAAGAAUGAUCAAGUUUCACUUCACGAAUUACGUAUCCACUUUCCGCCACCAAAGUACCGACUUCAUAAAUUCUUACCUGGAAUUAAGUUCUUGAAGUAUAAGCCGCAAGUGAAAGUAAAAUAAUACAGAUGAAACUGAGGUCACGAAUCUAUUACAAGGUCCAAGUACUCAUUAAUGGCGACAUUAAAUAUACUGCUAUGGCGAACAACAGCGGCAAAUAAAAUAUAUUGGGCUGGAACAACGAACAUGCAUUUGCGAUUAAAGAGAUUCUAUUUAGUUUUGUUGUUCAUGAUAUUUCUAUUAAGUAACAGCGAGGGCCAUCGUCGACGUCAUGAAAGAAUGAAUAAAAAAGUACCAUGGCUAACGAAGACAAUGUUACAAAAUGAUGGUUUGUUACUAAACAUAUCACCAAUGGAAGACGACUCGGAAAAAACAAAAGAUUCUGAAAUAUCUGAUAUUGAACGAAUGUAUUUCUAAUAUUUUUUAAGACAACGUGUGCAUGUUAUCAUUGUACAUGAAUUUUAUAUUAUGUUUUAACCUUUUAGUGAAUUAUCAAUAAACAUAUAGUACGGUGGGGGAAGAUGGUACACAUUUUAUCCUAUUUUCUUUCCCCACUUGGUAGUAAACAAAGAACAUUCAAAUUAUGAAACCGUAUCCUCUGAAUAUUUUGUGCUAAAAGUGUCGUGCCCCGUCUUUCCCACCCUACUAUUUACCGAAAAAAAAAUUUUUAAAUUAACAGAAUGAAAUAAAAAGUAAACGUGCUUUUGCUAUACUUUGUUCUUGGACAUACUGCAUUAAGUUGGGGUAAGAUGGAGCAUCUUUUCAUUCUAUUUCCCGAGCCAUUCGGUAAUAAACAAGAAAUAUUUAUAGAACUACCGUGUUCUCACGACUCUAAAACAGCGUUAUAAAUUGUUUAAAAUGAUUAAGAAAUAUUGGGUAAUAUGUGCUAACAUCAUCGCAUUUUACCCACAGUACUAUACAUGUGCACAAUGAAAUCGUAUUUUUUAUAUCUACAUUACUUAAAAAGUGUAUCUAGUUCUAACUUUACUAAACCUUUUUGGCAAAAGUAAA